CAGCAGUAGGGAAUAUUGCGCAAUGGGGGAAACCCUGACGCAGCAACGCCGCGUGGAGGAUGACACUUUUCGGAGCGUAAACUCCUUUUCUUAGGGAAGAAUUCUGACGGUACCUAAGGAAUAAGCACCGGCUAACUCCGUGCCAGCAGCCGCGGUAAUACGGAGGGUGCAAGCGUUACUCGGAAUCACUGGGCGUAAAGGGCGCGUAGGCGGAUUAUCAAGUCUCUUGUGAAAUCUAAUGGCUUAACCAUUAAACUGCUUGGGAAACUGAUAGUCUAGAGUGAGGGAGAGGCAGAUGGAAUUGGUGGUGUAGGGGUAAAAUCCGUAGAUAUCACCAAGAAUACCCAUUGCGAAGGCGAUCUGCUGGAACUCAACUGACGCUAAGGCGCGAAAGCGUGGGGAGCAAACAGGAUUAGAUACCCUGGUAGUCCACGCCCUAAACGAUGUACACUAGUUGUUGGGGUGCUAGUCAUCUCAGUAAUGCAGCUAACGCAUUAAGUGUACCGCCUGGGGAGUACGGUCGCAAGAUUAAAACUCAAAGGAAUAGACGGGGACCCGCACAAGCGGUGGAGCAUGUGGUUUAAUUCGACGAUACGCGAAGAACCUUACCUGGGCUUGAUAUCCUAAGAACCUUUUAGAGAUAAGAGGGUGCUAGCUUGCUAGAACUUAGAGACAGGUGCUGCACGGCUGUCGUCAGCUCGUGUCGUGAGAUGUUGGGUUAAGUCCCGCAACGAGCGCAACCCACGUAUUUAGUUGCUAACGGUUCGGCCGAGCACUCUAAAUAGACUGCCUUCGUAAGGAGGAGGAAGGUGUGGACGACGUCAAGUCAUCAUGGCCCUUAUGCCCAGGGCGACACACGUGCUACAAUGGCAUAUACAAUGAGACGCAAUACCGCGAGGUGGAGCAAAUCUAUAAAAUAUGUCCCAGUUCGGAUUGUUCUCUGCAACUCGAGAGCAUGAAGCCGGAAUCGCUAGUAAUCGUAGAUCAGCCAUGCUACGGUGAAUACGUUCCCGGGUCUUGUACUCACCGCCCGUCACACCAUGGGAGUUGAUUUCACUCGAAGCCGGAAUACUAAACUAGUUACCGUCCACAGUGGAAUCAGCGACUGGGGUGAAGUCGUAACAAGGUAACCGUAGGAGAACCUGCGGUUGGAUCACCUCCUUUCUA
rnacentral:rRNA from 1 species